rnacentral:rRNA from 1 species
GAUCCUGGCUCAGGACGAACGCUGGCGGCGCGCCUAACACAUGCAAGUCGAGGGGCAGCAUGGUCUUAGCUUGCUAAGGCCGAUGGCGACCGGCGCACGGGUGAGUAACACGUAAUCCAACCUGCCGUCUACUCUUGGACAGCCUUCUGAAAGGAAGAUUAAUACAAGAUGGCAUCAUGAGUCCGCAUGUUCACAUGAUUAAAGGUAUUCCGGUAGACGAUGGGG